GACAUGGUGACGUGGAAAGAUGAACAAAAAAAUGAAACAAAAAACGCACAAAAGCCGCAAAAGAAACAAAAAACACAAAAAAUAAUUUUUACAGAAAAGGCGCGAUUGCAGCUUUCAUCCUCCAUUUCCAAAUUACCAAAAUUGAAGCAGUCGUCAUCGCCGUAUUUCCAAAUUGUAGCUUUCCUCCUCCGGUGUAACAAAGAAAUUUCCAACUUGAAGUAGUGGCCGUCGCCGUAUUUCCAAAUUGAAACCAAUAUUGUAAACUUUUCGGCCAGAAGCUGCGAUACCCCUCAGUGAAGCUUUCUCCGGUGUAACAAAGAACUUUUCGAGUUGAAGCAAUCGUCGUCGCCGUCUUCAUAGAUUCGGCUGUGUAAGAAAGAGUCGUUUCCGGCUUCAAGUCGCCGGCUUCAUUAAUUGGAGUAGAUGACGGACAACGGCAAGGAAAAUUUGGAAGAGGUGGAUGAUGUGGUUUUAUUAGAGUCCGAAAAUGACAACAUUUUGGACAGUGAGAAAUUCAUAGAUGAUGGAAUUGUAGGAGUAAACAGUAUGAUUGUGCUCGAGAUGGGUAUGAAGUCCAAAGAUGAAAAAGAUAUGACAAAGUGUGUCAAUCAGUUGCUACACUUGCGGACAUGGCUGCAUGGAACGACGAGCAAACCCGUGACGUACUAUAGUGGAUAGAAUGCAAAUAAAAUAAAAAAAAAUUCAUUUAAGAUGACGAGGUCGAGUUGUGGAAGUAAUGACGUGUCUCAUCAUGUAUUUCAGACAGCGUCUGAUAGUGGAGCGUCACAACAUAUCGGCAAUUUAUGUAUUAAGGAUCCAAAAUGCAAUGUUCUAGUUAAAUGUCCUUGAUUCCUUUUAUAGUUACUCUGCCUUCUUACCUUCUGUGUCAAGAUUAUAUAUCAACUUUAAUUGUAUUGAUCUUGUGGUCAUUGCUCUUGUAAUGUUGCCUAGUGUGUCAUAGCAGCACCCAAAUUUUAAUCAAGCAGCAGCAUGUUCUGGUCUUUGAUUCA